rnacentral:rRNA from 1 species
AGAAUUUGAUCUGGUUCAGGAUGAACGCUAGCUACAGGCUUAACACAUGCAAGUCGAGGGGCAGCAUUGGGAUAGCUUGCUAUUCAGAUGGCGACCGGCGCACGGGUGAGUAACGCGUAUCUAACCUUCCUGCCAGUAGGGAACAGCCCGGCGAAAGUCGGAUUAAUGCCCUAUGUUCUUCAAUGCGGACAUCUAAGUUGAAGGAAAGAUUCAUCGCUGGCAGAUGGGGAUGCGUCCGAUUAGCUUGCCGGCGGGGUAACGGCCCACCGGGGCGACGAUCGGUAGGGGUUCUGAGAGGAAGGUCCCCCACACUGGUACUGAGACACGGACCAGACUCCUACGGGAGGCAGCAGUGAGGAAUAUUGGUCAAUGGGCGUAAGCCUGAACCAGCCAAGUAGCGUGCCAGGAUGACGGCCCUACGGGUUGUAAACUGCUUUUAUGCGGGGAUAAAGUGCGGCACGUGUGCCGCUUUGCAGGUACCGCAUGAAUAAGGACCGGCUAAUUCCGUGCCAGCCGCCGC